UACGUAGGGAGCAAGCGUUGUUCGGAUUUACUGGGCGUAAAGGGCGCGUAGGCGGCGCGGUAAGUCACUUGUGAAAUCUCUGAGCUUAACUCGGAACGGUCAAGUGAUACUGCAGUGCUAGAGUGCGGAAGGGGCAAUCGGAAUUCUUGGUGUAGCGGUGAAAUGCGCAGAUAUCAGGAAGAACACCCGUGGCUAAGGCGGCUCUCUAGUACGGUACUGACGCUGAGACGCGAAAGCGUGGGGAGCGAACAGG
rnacentral:rRNA from 1 species